CCUACGAGCGGCAGCAGUGAGGAAUAUUGGUCAAUGGGCGCGAGCCUGAACCAGCCAAGUAGCGUGAAGGAUGACUGCCCUACGGGUUGUAAACUUCUUUUAUAAAAGAAUAAAGUGAGGCACGUGUGCCUUUUUGUAUGUACUUUAUGAAUAAGGAUCGGCUAACUCCGUGCCAGCAGACGCGGUAAUACGGAGGAUCCGAGCUUUAUCCGGAUUUAUUGGGUUUAAAGGGAGCGUAGAUGGGUUGUUAAGUCAGUUGUGAAAGUUUGCGGCUCAACCGUAAAAUUGCAAUUGAUACUGGCAGCCUUGAGUACAGUUGAGGUAGGCGGAAUUCUUGGUGUAGCGGUGAAAUGCUUAGAUAGCACGAAGAACUCCGAUUGCGAAGGCAGCCUACUAAACUGCCACUGACAUUGAUGCUCGAAAGUGUGGGUAUCAAACAGGAUUAGAUACCCGUGUAGUC
rnacentral:rRNA from 1 species